rnacentral:misc_RNA from 1 species
GAUGAAGAACGUAGCGAAAUGCGAUACUUGGUGUGAAUUGCAGAAUCCCGUGAACCAUCGAGUCUUUGAACGCAAGUUGCGCCCGAAGCCAUUAGGCCGAGGGCACGCCUGCCUGGGCGUCACACGUCGUUGCCCCCCCAUCUACUCCUUAGGGAUUGCGAGGGGCGGAUGAUGGCCUCCCGUGCGCCUCGUCGCGCGGUUGGCAUAAAUGCCAAGUCCUCGGCGACGCACGCCACGACAAUCGGUGGUUGCGAAACCUCGGUUGCCCGUCGUGUGCGGUCGUCGCGCAUCGAGGGCUCGAAAAAAUUGCCGGGCUCCGGCUCGGCUUUCAACGCGACCCCAGGUCAGGCGGGGUUACCCGCUGAAUUUAAGCAUAUCAAUAAGCGGAGGA